rnacentral:rRNA from 1 species
CAGCAGCCGCGGUAAUACGAAGGGUGCAAGCGUUACUCGGAAUUACUGGGCGUAAAGCGUGCGUAGGUGGUGGUUUAAGUCCGUUGUGAAAGCCCUGGGCUCAACCUGGGGAUUGCAGUGGAUACUGGGUCACUAGAGUGUGGUAGAGGAUAGUGGAAUUUCCGGUGUAGCAGUGAAAUGCGUAGAGAUCGGAAGGAACAUCUGUGGCGAAGGCGACUAUCUGGGCCAACACUGACACUGAGGCACGAAAGCGUGGGGAGCAAACAGGAUUAGAUACCCGUGUAGUCCCUGUCUCUUAUAC